ACGAACGCUGGCGGCGUGCCUAAUACAUGCAAGUAGAACGCACAGUUUAUACCGUAGCUUGCUACACCAUAGACUGUGAGUUGCGAACGGGUGAGUAACGCGUAGGUAACCUGCCUGGUAGCGGGGGAUAACUAUUGGAAACGAUAGCUAAUACCGCAUAAUAUUAAUUAUUGCAUGAUAAUUGAUUGAAAGAUGCAACUGCAUCACUACCAGAUGGACCUGCGUUGUAUUAGCUAGUAGGUGAGGUAACGGCUCACCUAGGCGACGAUACAUAGCCGACCUGAGAGGGUGAUCGGCCACACUGGGACUGAGACACGGCCCAGACUCCUACGGGAGGCAGCAGUAGGGAAUCUUCGGCAAUGGACGAAAGUCUGACCGAGCAACGCCGCGUGAGUGAAGAAGGUUGUCGGAUCGUAAAGCUCGGUUGUAAGAGAAGAACGGGUGUGAGAGUGGAAAGUUCACACUGUGACGGUAUCUUAACAGAAAGGGACGGCUAACUACGUG
rnacentral:rRNA from 1 species